UACAGAGGUCUCGAGCGUUAGGCGGAAUCACUGGGCUUAAAGCGUGUGUAGGCGGGUCGUUAAGUGCCUUGUGAAAUCCCAUGGCUCAACCAUGGAACUGCUGGGCAUACUGGCGAUCUUGUGCAACCUAGGGGCGAGCGGAACAGAUGGUGGAGCGGUGAAAUGCGUAGAUAUCAUUUGGAACGCCGACGGUGAAAACAGCUCGCUGGGAGUGUCCUGACGCUGAGACGCGAAAGCCAGGGGAGCGAACGGG
rnacentral:rRNA from 1 species